rnacentral:rRNA from 1 species
AUUGAACGCUGGCGGCAUGCUUUACACAUGCAAGUCGAACGGUAACAGGCCGCAAGGUGCUGACGAGUGGCGAACGGGUGAGUAAUGCAUCGGAACGUGCCCAGUCGUGGGGGAUAACUACUCGAAAGAGUAGCUAAUACCGCAUACGAUCUAUGGAUGAAAGCGGGGGACCGUAAGGCCUCGCGCGAUUGGAGCGGCCGAUGUCAGAUAGGUAGUUGGUGGGGUAAAGGCUCACCAAGCCAACGAUCGGUAGCUGGUCUGAGAGGACGACCAGCCACACUGGGACUGAGACACGGCCCAGACUCCUACGGGAGGCAGCAGUGGGGAAUUUUGGACAAUGGGCGCAAGCCUGAUCCAGCAAUGCCGCGUGCAGGAAGAAGGCCUUCGGGUUGUAAACUGCUUUUGUACGGAACGAAACGGCUCUGGUUAAUACCCGGGGCUAAUGACGGUACCGGAAGAAUAAGCACCGGCUAACUACGUG